UACGAAGGGGGCUAGCGUUGCUCGGAAUCACUGGGCGUAAAGCGCACGUAGGCGGAUCUUUAAGUCAGAGGUGAAAUCCCAAGGCUCAACCUUGGAACUGCCUUUGAUACUGGGGAUCUCGAGUCCGGAAGAGGUGAGUGGAACUGCGAGUGUAGAGGUGAAAUUCGUAGAUAUUCGCAAGAACACCAGUGGCGAAGGCGGCUCACUGGCCCGAUACUGACGCUGAGGUGCGAAAGCGUGGGGAGCAAACAGG
rnacentral:rRNA from 1 species